rnacentral:lncRNA from 1 species
GAGAAAUAUAUGACUAUUCUCUGUGAUGUGUAUAUGCCACUUAGUGCUCAAUCAGUACAAAAAACAGAGACCAGAAAUAUAGCAUAUCACAUGGUAUGCCAGUGGGCGGAGCUACUCUGUCAAUUUUAAUCCCUAAACUGCAGGAUGCCCCUUGAAAACUGGACACCACUGACUGACAGAUAGCACCUCCCUACAGACCAACACAUGCAUCCCAAACAGUGCCUCUCCAAGAUGGCUACCUUGUUUCAGGUUUCCCGUUCAACAAUAGCGCCUUCCAGACAGCAGUAUGUUGGGCCCAACACAGAGGCCCAACCAAAUACACCACAAAACCCCUUUGAGGUGGUGAUUAUGGAAAGAGGAGUAAAGGUGGAAAAGUUGUGAUGAUGGGAGAAAACAAAGGGAACAUUUCCUGUCUGAACCUUCCCCAAUACUAACUUCUCCACACACCAGAUACCUCUUACCCACCCCACUUAGUCGGUCUCCAAAAAAAUAGGGUUCUUUCAGAGCCUACUGUGAGACUCUCCCCUUUGUCUUCACCCAGACACUCUACCCCAACAUCCCCAGCCAUCCCCCCACUCUUGUACCGG